GACGAACGCUGGCGGCGUGCUUAACACAUGCAAGUCGAACGGUAAGGCCCUUCGGGGUACACGAGUGGCGAACGGGUGAGUAACACGUGGGUGAUCUGCCCUGCACUUCGGGAUAAGCCUGGGAAACUGGGUCUAAUACCGGAUAGGACCACUGCCUGCAUGGGUGGUGGUGGAAAGCUUUUGCGGUGUGGGAUGGGCCCGCGGCCUAUCAGCUUGUUGGUGGGGUGAUGGCCUACCAAGGCGACGACGGGUCGCCGGCCUGAGAGGGUGACCGGCGACACUGGGACUGAGAUACGGCCCAGACUCCUACGGGAGGCAGCAGUGGGGAAUAUUGCACAAUGGGCGCAAGCCUGAUGCAGCGACGCCGCGUGAGGGAUGACGGCCUUCGGGUUGUAAACCUCUUUCAGCACCGACGAAGCGCAAGUGACGGUAGGUGCAGAAGAAGGACCGGCCAACUACGUGCCAGCCGCCGCAGUAA
rnacentral:rRNA from 1 species